rnacentral:rRNA from 1 species
AUGGAUUAGAGAGCUUGCUCUCAGGAAGUUAGCGGCGGACGGGUGAGUAACACGUGGGUAACCUGCCCAUAAGACUGGGAUAACUCCGGGAAACCGGGGCUAAUACCGGAUAAYAUUUUGAACUGCAUGGUUCGAAAUUGAAAGGCGGCUUCGGCUGUCACUUAUGGAUGGACCCGCGUCGCAUUAGCUAGUUGGUGAGGUAACGGCUCACCAAGGCAACGAUGCGUAGCCGACCUGAGAGGGUGAUCGGCCACACUGGGACUGAGACACGGCCCAGACUCCUACGGGAGGCAGCAGUAGGGAAUCUUCCGCAAUGGACGAAAGUCUGACGGAGCAACGCCGCGUGAGUGAUGAAGGCUUUCGGGUCGUAAAACUCUGUUGUUAGGGAAGAACAAGUGCUAGUUGAAUAAGCUGGCACCUUGACGGUACCUAACCAGAAAGCCACGGCUAACUACGUGCCAGCAGCCGCGGUAAUACGUAGGUGGCAAGCGUUAUCCGGAAUUAUUGGGCGUAAAGCGCGCGCAGGUGGUUUCUUAAGUCUGAUGUGAAAGCCCACGGCUCAACCGUGGAGGGUCAUUGGAAACUGGGAGACUUGAGUGCAGAAGAGGAAAGUGGAAUUCCAUGUGUAGCGGUGAAAUGCGUAGAGAUAUGGAGGAACACCAGUGGCGAAGGCGACUUUCUGGUCUGUAACUGACACUGAGGCGCGAA